UACGAACCGUGCGAACGUUGUUCGGAUUCACUGGGCUUAAAGGGCGCGUAGGCGGGUCAGCAAGUCCGGGGUGAAAGCUUUCGGCUCAACCGGAAAAGGGCCUUGGAUACUGCUGGUCUGGAGGAAGGUAGGGGCGUGUGGAACUUCCGGUGGAGCGGUGAAAUGCGUAGAUAUCGGAAGGAACGCCGGUGGCGAAAGCGACACGCUGGACCUUUUCUGACGCUGAGGCGCGAAAGCCAGGGGAGCAAACGGG
rnacentral:rRNA from 1 species